UACGUAGGGGGCGAGCGUUGUCCGGAAUUAUUGGGCGUAAAGAGCGUGUAGGCGGUUCGGUAAGUCUGCCGUGAAAACCUGGGGCUCAACCCUGGCGUGCGGUGGAUACUGCCGGGCUAGAGGGUGGUAGAGGCGAGUGGAAUUCCUGGUGUAGCGGUGAAAUGCGCAGAUAUCAGGAGGAACACCGGUGGCGAAGGCGGGUCUCUGGGCCGAUACUGACGCUGAGGAGCGAAAGCGUGGGGAGCGAACAGG
rnacentral:rRNA from 1 species